GUGCUCACUAGUUCAAAGAUUAAAAAUUCCUAAAUAAUUCUGCAAUCGUCGCACACAUUUACAUCUGUUGUGUUAUUUUCUCCCAUUGCUGCUACACAUCAUGGACGGUAACUUCGUGUUUUUUGUACUGUUGAUACUGCAAUUACCCGUGUACCUUUGUAUGCACUUCACGGAAUGCUAUUUAAAGCAUUCAUUACAGCUAACAUGUACAGUAGCGCUUUCGUCAAACACGCAUUUCGUCUUCUACAUGCGUACAGAUGAUGCCGAGCGUCCGAGGACCUUUCCAAGAGGCGUAGCGCAAAUUUUCCUGUUAUGGCGUACAGUAGCGGCGCACUAGACUCAGUUGGCACACCUAUCACUCCAGCUACUAUACCGACACUGCAACACACGAAACGCCACGACGUAAGCGGAAUCUUGGCGAUGUGGUGGUUCUAGAGCUUACAUAGAAGCGUAAGCAGAUCGCCUAGCACAGCGCACUGGUCUUACGCGGAUAUGUGACGCCUGCUCGUACUAUACGAUCCAACAGAUACGCUGUGCGCACUAUGCCGAGGGUGUGAAGCCAAAUUUCAGCUGGACCCUUGCAUUCAGCAAGACCGACGCAGCAAGACAGCAGCCAUUGCCAGCCACUGAUAUGGAAGUGGAAAGCAAGCAUCACAAUAAAGCAUAGCCAGAAAUAGCACUACAGGCACACAAUUCUACCGAAGAAGGACAAUUUUGAACACAUGGGAGCAGCACGAGCAUGAAGAGCCUGGCACAAAACCACGCACACUUCUACUGCAGAGGGACAGGUGUCAUCAGUACCACACGCACACACUUCUGCUUCAGAAGGACAAUUUUGAACACAUGGGAGCAGCACAAGGAUGAAGCGACUGGCUCAAAACCAUGCACACUUCUACUGCAAAGGGAGAAGUGUCAGCACAUGGCAGCAACAAGCAGUGAUCACCUCGCACGAAACAGCACACGCCGUGGGGAAGCACAAGGCGGCAAGUGUCAUCAGGUGGCAGCAACAAGCAGUGAUCACCUCGCACGAAACAGCACACGCAGUGGGGAAGCACAAGGCGGCAAGUGUCAUCAGGUGGCAGCACCAAGCAGUCAUCACCUCGCACGAAACAGCACACGCAGUGCGGAAGCACAAGGCGGCAAGUGUCAUCAGGUGGCAGCAACAAGCAGUCAUCACCUCGCACGAAACAGCACACGCAGUGCGGAAGCACAAGGCGGCAAGUGUCAUCAGGUGGCAGCACCAAGCAGUCAUCACCUCGCACGAAACAGCACAAGCAGUGCGGAAGCACAAGGCGGCAAGUGUCAUCAGGUGGCAGCACCAAGCAGUCAUCACCUCGCACGAAACAGCACACGCACUGCGGAAGCACAAGGCGGCAAGUGUCAUCAGGUGGCAGCACCAAGCAGUCAUCACCUCGCACGAAACAGCACACGCAGUGGGGAAGCACAAGGCGGCAAGUGUC